rnacentral:rRNA from 1 species
UGUGCUAAGGUAGCAUAAUCAAUUGUUUUUUAAUUGAGAACUAGUAUGAAGGGUUAAACAAAUUAGUCAGGUUUGAUUAGCUAAAUAGAAAAUUAAAGUUAAGGUAAGAAUUCUUUAAUAAUUUAGGGGACGAUAAGACCCUAGAAGCUUUAAAAAAUAAAAAAAAUUAUAAAAAAAGUUGGUUUUUACUGGGGCGGUAGUAGUAUUUAAUCUAUUGUUAUUUUGGUUGAUCCUUAAUAUAAAGAUACCACGGUUGAGUUACUCUAGGGAUAACAGUGUAAUAUUUUUGGAUAGACCAUAUUGAUAAAAKUGUUU